ACGAACCGUACAAACGUUAUUCGGAAUCACUGGGCUUAAAGGGUGCGUAGGCGGCCAUGUAAGUGAGGUGUGAAAUCCCUCGGCUCAACCGAGGAACUGCGCUUCAUACUGCAUGGCUUGAGGGAGACAGGGGUAAGCGGAACUGAUGGUGGAGCGGUGAAAUGCGUUGAUAUCAUCAGGAACACCGGUGGCGAAAGCGGCUUACUGGGUCUCUUCUGACGCUGAGGUACGAAAGCUAGGGUAGCGAACGGGAUUAGAUACCCCGGUAGUCCUAGCUGUAAACGAUGAGCACUUAUCUGGGGAUCCUCCCAUAGGUUCCCGGAUGUAGCGAAAGUGUUAAGUGCUCCGCCUGGGGAGUAUGGUCGCAAGGCUG
rnacentral:rRNA from 1 species